rnacentral:lncRNA from 1 species
GACGGGGAGGAGGAGGAGGACAUCACCAGUGCCGAGUCAGAGAGCAGUGAGGAGGAGGAAGGCGGCCCCGGGGACGGCCAGAACACCACCCGGCAGCAGCAGCUAGAAUGGGACUACUCCACACUCAGCUACUAAACACGCGCUCGCCCAGCACCUGCUCUCCAGACUCUCCCAGCCAUCUUCCAGCCCCACGGGUCCACGAUGUACAAAUCAUUUUGACCAGCAGCUGGGAACUGAUGGCAAAGAUGGACAACAGUUCUGAGCAGUCUGCACUACAGCACCCAAGAGGAGAACCUGAGGCCCGA